CCUACGGGAGGCAGCAGUGAGGAAUAUUGGUCAAUGGCCGUAAGGCUGAACCAGCCAAGUCGCGUGAAGGAAGAAGGAUCUAUGGUUUGUAAACUUCUUUUAUAGGGGAAUAAAGGUAUUCACGUGUGGAUCUUUGCAUGUACCCUAUGAAUAAGCAUCGGCUAACGCCGUGCCAGCAGCCGCGGUAAUACGGAGGAUGCGAGCGUUACCCGGAUUUAUUGGGUUUAAAGGGCGCGUAGGUUGUUUGUUAAGUCAGGGGUGAAAGUUUGUGGCUCAACCAUAAAAUUGCCGUUGAAACUGGAAGACUUGAGUGUGUUUGAGGUAGGCGGAAUGCGUGGUGUAGCGGUGAAAUGCAUAGAUAUCACGAAGAACUCCGAUUGCGAAGGCAGCUUACUAGGCCAUAACUGACGCUGAGGCGCGAAAGCGUGGGGAUCAAACAGGAUUAGAUACCCCUGUAGUC
rnacentral:rRNA from 1 species